AGAGUUUGAUCAUGGCUCAGGACGAACGCUGGCGGCGUGCCUAACACAUGCAAGUCGAACGAAGUAUGUUUUUCGGAAUGUACUUAGUGGCGGACGGGUGAGUAACGCGUGAAUAAUCUGCCCCAUACAGGGGGAUAGCCUCGGGAAACCGGGAUUAAAACCGCAUGAUGCUUUUUUAUCGCAUGGUAGAGAAGUCAAAUCGAAUAAGAGGUAUGGGAUGAGUUCGCGUCUGAUUAGCUGGUUGGCGGGGUAAGAGCCCACCAAGGCGACGAUCAGUAGCCGGCCUGAGAGGGUGACCGGCCACACUGGAACUGAGACACGGUCCAGACUCCUACGGGAGGCAGCAGUGGGGAAUAUUGCACAAUGGAGGGAACUCUGAUGCAGCGACGCCGCGUGAGUGAAGAAGGUCUUCGGAUCGUAAAACUCUGUCCUUGGUGACGAAAAAAAUGACGGUAGCCAAGGAGGAAGCCCCGGCUAACUACGUGCCAGCAGCCGCGGUAAUACGUAGGGGGCGAGCGUUGUCCGGAUUUACUGGGCGUAAAGGGUGAGUAGGCGGUUAUAUAUGCCAGGUGUAAAAAGCUAUGGCUUAACCAUAGUAAGCACUUGAAACUGUAUGACUUGAGUGCAGGAGAGGUAAGCGGAAUUCCUAGUGUAGCGGUGAAAUGCGUAGAUAUUAGGAGGAACACCGGUGGCGAAGGCGGCUUACUGGACUGUAACUGACGCUGAGUCACGAAAGCGUGGGUAGCAAACAGGAUUAGAUACCCUGGUAGUCCACGCCGUAAACGAUGAGUGCUAGGUGUUGGGCAGCAAUGCUCAGUGCCGAAGUAAACACAAUAAGCACUCCGCCUGGGGAGUACGUACGCAAGUAUGAAACUCAAAGGAAUUGACGG
rnacentral:rRNA from 1 species